rnacentral:rRNA from 1 species
AUGCCGGGCGUUGCCCCGGGUACGCUUCUUCAUUGGCUCGCCCACUUGGACCGGUGUUGGACCGCUGACCGCCUCGCCCGUCACGGCUUGCAGCACCCCGCAUGCUGCCCACUCUGUGACCAGGCGCCGGAGACCCUCCAACAUCUCCUCCUCGCCUGCCCGUUCUCCCGGCAGGUAUGGUAUGAAAUCCUGAGCUGGCUAAGGGUUCCCUGCAACCCGCCUGAUGGCGAGCCAUCAACCAACACCUGGUGGCUCUCCGUGCGGCAGCACACGCCCAAGCCUAUGCGCAAGGGCCUCGCCUCGGCGACACUACUCAUUCCU